UGGGGAAUAUUGGACAAUGGGCGAAAGCCUGAUCCAGCCAUGCCGCGUGUGUGAAGAAGGUCUUCGGAUUGUAAAGCACUUUAAGUUGGGAGGAAGGGCAUUAACCUAAUACGUUAGUGUUUUGACGUUACCGACAGAAUAAGCACCGGCUAACUCUGUGCCAGCAGCCGCGGUAAUACAGAGGGUGCAAGCGUUAAUCGGAAUUACUGGGCGUAUAGCGCGCGUAGGUGGUUUGUUAAGUUGGAUGUGAAAUCCCCGGGCUCAACCUGGGAACUGCAUUCAAAACUGACUGACUAGAGUAUGGUAGAGGGUGGUGGAAUUUCCUGUGUAGCGGUGAAAUGCGUAGAUAUAGGAAGGAACACCAGUGGCGAAGGCGACCACCUGGACUAAUACUGACACUGAGGUGCGAAAGCGUGGGGAGCAAACA
rnacentral:rRNA from 1 species